rnacentral:misc_RNA from 1 species
GAUGAAGAACGCAGCGAAAUGCGAUAAGUAAUGUGAAUUGCAAAAUUCAGUGAAUCAUCGAAUCUUUGAACGCACAUUGCGCCCGCCAGUAUUCUGGCGGGCAUGCCUGUUCGAGCGUCAUUUCAACCAUCAAGCCCCAGGCUUGUGUUGGGGACCUGCGGCUGCCGCAGGCCCUGAAAACCAGUGGCGGGCUCGCUGUCACACCGGGCGUAGUAGAUUUUAUCUCGCUCAGGGCGUGCUGCGGGUCCCGGCCGUUAAAAGCCUUUUUUUACCCAAGGUUGACCUCGGAUCAGGUAGGAAGACCCGCUGAACUUAAGCAUAUCAAUAAGCGGAGGA